UACGGGGGGAGCAAGCGUUGUUCGGAUUUACUGGGCGUAAAGGGCGCGUAGGCGGUCAGCACAUGUCAGUUGUGAAAUCUCCGGGCUUAACUCGGAAAGGUCAACUGAUACUGUGCGACUAGAGUGCGGAAGGGGCAACUGGAAUUCUCGGUGUAGCGGUGAAAUGCGUAGAUAUCGAGAGGAACACCUGCGGCGAAGGCGGGUUGCUGGGCCGACACUGACGCUGAUGCGCGAAAGCCAGGGGAGCGAACGGG
rnacentral:rRNA from 1 species